ensembl:snRNA U6 U6 spliceosomal RNA
GUGCUUGCUUCAGCAGCACGUAUACUAAAAUCAGAAUGAUACAGAGGAUUAGCAUGGCCCCUGUGCAGGGAUGAAAAAUAAAAGAAAUGAGGCUGACUCUG